rnacentral:lncRNA from 1 species
CAGAAGCAGUAUGACUAAUCCAAUCCAGAUAAGAGCACAAAAGGUAACAAUCAAAAUGACAGCAAGGAGACAGAACAGAUGAGCAGAACAAGUGGACAACUCACAGCCAGGGCCAGCCUCCAUUGUUUGUUUGUUUGUGGUAAGAAAAGGUCCUUCCUUUCUUCUUCUUCCCCUACCUGCCUUCCUGUAGGGAGCUGAUGCACCUGCUGCAGAGAUGGACGGCAAUUUGACGCCAUUUCCCUGUCCAACAAAGAGGAAGUCGUCUUCUUCCCCUUCUUGUUGGAACGAACAGAAAGGAGACUGCAUUUGAGUUUUCGACAGCAACAGCACACACUGACUAGAAUUUUAUCACACGCGCACACCCCCCAUGACCAGGACAAGAUUUGCUCCUCGACAAGGACUAGCUGUGGAUGCUUGACACUGAACUGCACUGCAACCAGGGGUGGAGUGACACAAGAGACCUACUACUGAGCAAGCGGCUAAACCUUCCUAGGAAAUUGAGGUGGGGUUGGAAACAACAGGGCAAGCUUUUUGUCUCCUCUUUUCCCCCCAAUGAAAUUGAGGGCAUGAGCAAGGUGGAGCAAUUUUGCAGGUGCUCUUGCUCAAUUAACCCACACAAGGGGGGAGCAAGGAAGGAAGGCGACGUGGCUGGGACGACCAGAACCAGGGCAGAAGUGAGUAGAGCUGAGGUGAGUGACACUUGCACACACAGAGCUGCGAACGCCAAGCAAGCAAACCGGAG